rnacentral:rRNA from 1 species
CCUACGGGCGGCAGCAGUCGAGAAUCAUUCACAAUGGGGGAAACCCUGAUGGUGCGACGCCGCGUGGGGGAAUGAAGGUCUUCGGAUUGUAAACCCCUGUCAUGUGGGAGCAAAUUAAAAAGAUAGUACCACAAGAGGAAGAGACGGCUAACUCUUUGCCAGCGGCCGCGGUAAUACGGAGGUCUCAAGCGUUGUUCGGAAUUACUGGGCGUAAAGGGUGCGUAGGCGGUUUCGUAAGUCGUGUGUGAAAGGCGCGGGCUCAACCCGCGGACUGCACAUGAUACUACGUAGCUAGAGGAUAGGAGAGGAAACCGGAAUUCUCGGUGUAGCAGUGAAAUGCGUAGAUAUCAGGAGGAACACCAGUGGCGAAGGCGGGUUCCUGGACAGUAACUGACGCUGAGGCACGAAGGCCAGGGGAGCGAAAGGGAUUAGAUACCCCAGUAGUC